rnacentral:rRNA from 1 species
UACGUAGGGUCCAAGCGUUGUCCGGAUUUAUUGGGCGUAAAGAGCGUGUAGGCGGCCAGGUAGGUCUGGUGUGAAAACUCGAGGCUUAACCUCGAGAUGUCAUCGGAAACCAUCUGGCUAGAGUCCGGAAGAGGAGAGUGGAAUUCCUGGUGUAGCGGUGAAAUGCGCAGAUAUCGGGAAGAACACCAAUGGCGAAAGCAGCUCUCUGGGACGGUACUGACGCUGAGACGCGAAAGCGUGGGGAGCGAACAGG